UUCGCCCUUAGAGUUUGAUCCUGGCUCAGGACGAACGCUGGCGGCGUGCUUAACACAUGCAAGUCGAGCGGAGACAUACCACAUGAAGUUUUCGGAUGGAUUGAGGUAUGUUUUAGCGGCGGACGGGUGAGUAACGCGUGAGCAACCUUUCCUUCACUGGGGAAUAACACAGGGAAACUUGUACUAAUACCGCAUGAGACCACGGUGGGGCAUCCCACAGGGGUCAAAGAUUUAUUGGCGAAGGGUGGGCUCGCGUCCGAUUAGGUAGUUGGUGAGGUAACGGCCCACCAAGCCGACGAUCGGUAGCCGACCUGAGAGGGUGAUCGGCCACAUUGGGACUGAGACACGGCCCAAACUCCUACGGGAGGCAGCAGUGGGGAAUAUUGGGCAAUGGGCGCAAGCCUGACCCAGCAACGCCGCGUGGAGGAAGAAGGUUUUCGGAUCGUAAACUCCUGUCCUUAGGGAAGAGCAGAAGACGGUACCUAAGGAGGAAGCCCCGGCUAACUACGUGCCAGCAGCCGCGGUAAUACGUAGGUUGCAAGCGUUGUCCGGAUUUACUGGGUGUAAAGGGCGUGUAGGCGGAGAUGCAAGUUGGGAGUGAAAUCCCGGGGCUCAACCCCGGAACUGCUUUCAAAACUGCAUCCCUUGAGUAUCGGAGAGGCAAGCGGAAUUCCUAGUGUAGCGGUGAAAUGCGUAGAUAUUAGGAGGAACACCAGUGGCGAAGGCGGCUUGCUGGACGACAACUGACGCUGAGGCGCGAAAGCGUGGGGAGCAAACAGGAUUAGAUACCCUGGUAGUCCACGCUGUAAACGAUGAAUACUAGGUGUGGGAGGACUGACCCCUUCCGUGCCGCAGUUAACACAAUAAGUAUUCCACCUGGGGAGUACGACCGCAAGGUUGAAACUCAAAGGAAUUGACGGGGGCUCGCACAAGCAGUGGAGCAUGUUGUUUAAUUCGACGCAACGCGAAGAACCUUACCAGGACUUGACAUCCAACUAACGAAGUAGAGAUACAUUAGGUGCCCUUCGGGGAAAGUUGAGACAGGUGGUGCAUGGUUGUCGUCAGCUCGUGUCGUGAGAUGUUGGGUUAAGUCCCGCAACGAGCGCAACCCCUAUUGUUAGUUGCUACGCAAGAGCACUCUAGCGAGACUGCCGUUGACAAAACGGAGGAAGGCGGGGACGACGUCAAAUCAUCAUGCCCCUUAUGUCCUGGGCUACACACGUAAUACAAUGGUGGUAAACAGAGGGAAGCAAAACCGCGAGGUGGAGCAAAUCCCUAAAAGCCAUCUCAGUUCGGAUUGCAGGCUGCAACUCGCCUGCAUGAAGCUGGAAUUGCUAGUAAUCGCGGAUCAGCAUGCCGCGGUGAAUACGUUCCCGGGCCUUGCACACACCGCCCGUCA
rnacentral:rRNA from 1 species